GGCUUCAAGAGGUACAAAUCAAUGAUAAUUUUGCCAAACUUUCAGAAGCUUUAUAUGUAGCUGAACAAAAAGCAAGAGAAGCUGUUUCCAUGAGGUCAAAAGUCCAAAAGGAAAUGAUGAUGAAAGAAAAAGAAAGAAAAGAACAAGAACUCCGCGCAUUAGCUCAAAAAGCAAGAUCCGAAAGAACCGGGACCGCAACCGGACCACCUCCUGCCGCCCCACCGCCGCCUCCCUCCGGGAAGAGCAUGAUGGAUGUUGACGAGAGAGAACCAAGAGAACCAAGAGAAACAAGAGAGACAAGAGAGGAGAGAGAGGAGAGGAUUCAGAGAGAGAAGAUUCGGGAGGAGAGGAGG
rnacentral:lncRNA from 1 species